GGGAUAUUCUUCAGUGUUGGUAGUGGGGAUAUUCUUCAGUGUUGGUAGAGGGGAUAUUCUUUAGUGUUGGUAGUGAGCUGUGUGUUACAGGGGAUAUUCUUUAGUGUUGUUAGUGGGGAUAUUCUUUAGUGUUGUUAGUGGGGAUAUUCUUUAGUGUUGUUAGUGGGGAUAUUCUUUAGUGUUGUUAGUGAGAUGUGUGUUGGGGGGGAUAUUCUUAGGUCUUAAGAAAGCCGGUGUCCCUGGGGCUCCCUUCUUCCCCUGGGAAAAAUAGACCUUUUUGACCUGUUCGAGAUUUUAUAUUAUUUCCACAUGGGUUGAAGACAAAAAGAGAGAUGAGAGGAAGGGGGGAUUGAGGUUGAGAAGAGAUAAUGAGGAAGAGGGAGAGGGGAAUGAGGUUGAGAAGAGAAUGAGGAAGAGGGAAAUUAGGUUGAGAAGAGAAAACGAAUGAGGUUGAGAAGAGAUAACGAGGAAGAGGGGAAUGAGGUUGAGAAGAGAUAACGAGGAAGAGGGGAAUGAGGUUGAGAAGAGAUAACGAGGAAGAGGGGAAUGAGGUUGAGAAGAGAUAACGAGGAAGAGGGGAAUGAGGUUGAGAAGAGAUAAUGAGGAAGAGGGAGAGGGAAAUUAGGUUGAGAAUAGAUAAUGAGGAAGAGGGAGAGGGAAGUGGGGUUGAGAAGAGGGGAAUGAGUUUGAGAAGAGAUAACGAGGAAGAGGGGAUUGAGGUUGAGAAGAGGGGAAUGAGUUUGAGAAGAGAUAACGAGGAAGAGGAAAAUUAGGUUGAGAAGAGAGAAGGUUGAGGUUGAGAAGAGAGAAGAGGGGAAUGAGUUUGAGAAGAGAUAACGAGGAAGUUGUUUGUGUUUUUAUAUUUGUGCUGGAGUCGUCUUGGACAUUUUAGAGCCUUUCCAGACCAUCAGUGUUUCUCAUAUAUAUACAGUGCCUUGCGAAAGUAUUCGGC
ensembl:lncRNA